AACGAACGCUGGCGGCAUGCCUAACACAUGCAAGUCGAACGCGACCUUCGGGUCUAGUGGCGCACGGGUGCGUAACGCGUGGGAACCUGCCCUCAUGUACGGAAUAACCCCCCGAAAGGGGUGCUAAUGCCGGAUAAUGUCUUCUGAUCAAAGAUUUAUCGUAGUUGGAUGGGCCCGCGUUGGAUUAGCUAGUUGGUAGGGUAAAAGCCUACCAAGGCGACGAUCCAUAGCUGGUUUGAGAGGAUGAUCAGCCACACUGGGACUGAGACACGGCCCAGACUCCUACGGGAGGCAGCAGUGGGGAAUAUUGGACAAUGGGCGAAAGCCUGAUCCAGCAAUGCCGCGUGAGUGAUGAAGGCCUUAGGGUUGUAAAGCUCUUUUAGCCGGGAUGAUAAUGACGGUACCGGGAGAAUAAGCUCCGGCUAACUCCGUG
rnacentral:rRNA from 1 species